rnacentral:rRNA from 1 species
GACGAACGCUGGCGGCGUGCUUAACACAUGCAAGUCGAACGGUAAGGCUCCAGCUUGCUGGGGUACACGAGUGGCGAACGGGUGAGUAACACGUGGGUGACCUGCCCUGCACUUUGGGAUAAGCUCGGGAAACUGGGUCUAAUACCGGAUAGGAGCUCGGUGUGGAUACUGUGGUGGAGAGAUUUUGCGGUGUGGGAUGGGGCCGCGGCGUAUCAGCUUGUUGGUGGGGUAUUGGCCUACCAAGGCGGCGACGGGUAGCCGGCCUGAGAGGGUGGACGGCCACAUUGGGACUGAGACACGGCCCAGACUCCUACGGGAGGCAGCAGUGGGGAAUAUUGCACAAUGGGCGGAAGCCUGAUGCAGCGACGCCGCGUGGGGGAUGACGGCCUUCGGGUUGUAAACUGCUUUCGCCAGCGACGAAGGGUUUCUGACGGUAGUGGGUGAAGAAGCACCGGCUAACUACGUG